GACAGAGGGAGCUAGCGUUGUUCGGAAUUAUUGGGCGUAAAGAGCUCGUAGGCGGUUUGUCGCGUCUGCCGUGAAAGUCCGGGGCUCAACUCCGGAUCUGCGGUGGGUACGGGCAGACUAGAGUGAUGUAGGGGAGACUGGAAUUCCUGGUGUAGCGGUGAAAUGCGCAGAUAUCAGGAGGAACACCGAUGGCGAAGGCAGGUCUCUGGGCAUUAACUGACGCUGAGGAGCGAAAGCAUGGGGAGCGAACAGG
rnacentral:rRNA from 1 species